rnacentral:rRNA from 1 species
GACGAACGCUGGCGGCGUGCUUAACACAUGCAAGUCGAACGGAAAGGCCCUGCUCUUGUGGGGUGCUCGAGUGGCGAACGGGUGAGAAACACGUGAGUAACCUGUCCCUGACUUUGGGAUAACUUCUGGAAACUGGGGCGAAUAUCGGAUAGGAGCUCCUGCAGCACGGGGGGGGUUGGAAAGUGUCGGCUGUUGGGGCUGGACUCGAGGCUUAUCCGCUUGUUGGUGGGGUAGUGGAGUACCAAGCCUUUGACGGGUAGCCGGCCUGGGAGGGGGACCGGGCACAUGAGGACUGAGAGACGGCCCAGUCUCCUACGGGAGGCAGCAGGCGGAAGUAUGGCACAGUGGGCGGAAGCCUGAUGCAGCGACGCCGCGUGCGGGAUGACGGCCUUCGGGUUGUAAACCGCUUUCGCCUGUGACGAAGCGUGAGUGACGGUAAUGGGUAAGGAAGCACCGGCUAACUACGUG